CGGAUAACUGUGGUAAUUCUAGAGCUAAUACGUGCAAUUAGCUCGCUUCCUUGCGGAGCGAGCGCAGUUAUUAGAUCAAAACCAAUCCGGCCUUCGGGUCGGUACAAUUGGUGACUCUGAAUAACCGAAGCGGAGCGCAUGGUCUCGUACCGGCGCCAGAUCUUUCAAGUGUCUGACUUAUCAGCUUGUUGUUAGGUUACGUUCCUAACAAGGCUUCAACGGGUAACGGGGUAUCAGGGUCCGAUACCGGAGAGGGAGCCUGAGAAACGGCUACCACAUCCAAGGAAGGCAGCAGGCGCGCAAAUUACCCACUCCUAGCACAGGGAGGUAGUGACGAAAAAUAACGAUGCGAGGGCUAUUAGCUUCUCGUAAUCGGAAUGGGUACACUUUAAAUCCUUUAACGAGGAUCUAUUGGAGGGCAAGUCUGGUGCCAGCAGCCGCGGUAAUUCCAGCUCCAAUAGCGUAUAUUAAAGUUGCUGCGGUUAAAAAGCUCGUAGUUGGAUCUGGGCUUCUGAAUGGAUGGUGCACUUUUCGGUGCAACUGUUCGUUUGGUGCCACAAGCCGGCCAUGUCUUGCAUGCUCUUCAUUGAGUGUGCAUGGCGACCGGAACGUUUACUUUGAAAAAAUUAGAGUGCUCAAAGCAGGCGUACGGCCUUGCAUAAUGGUGCAUGGAAUAAUGGAAUAGGACCUCGGUUCUAUUUUGUUGGUUUUCGGAACUCGAGGUAAUGAUUAAUAGGAACAGACGGGGGCAUUCGUAUUGCGGCGUUAGAGGUGAAAUUCUUGGAUCGUCGCAAGACGAACUACUGCGA
rnacentral:rRNA from 1 species